rnacentral:rRNA from 1 species
UACGUAGGGUGCGAGCGUUAAUCGGAAUUACUGGGCGUAAAGGGUGCGCAGGCGGUUAUAUAAGACAGAUGUGAAAUCCCCGGGCUCAACCUGGGAACUGCGUUUGUGACUGUAUGACUAGAGUACGGUAGAGAGGGUGGAAUUCCUGGUGUAGCAGUGAAAUGCGUAGAUAUCAGGAGGAACAUCGAUGGCGAAGGCAGCCCCUUGGACCUGUACUGACGCUCAUGCACGAAAGCGUGGGGAGCAAACAGG